GUUAGAAUGUGGAGCUCUAAGGACACAAGGCUAAUUUCACACUAGUAACUACAUUUUCUAUUUAAUUUAUAAAUAAAUAUAGACCAAAUUAGAACUUCAUACAUUCCUUUAAAUUGUAGUCAAACAAAUUAUUAUUAUUUUUUAUUUUGUUAUUCCAUUUAAUCAUGCUUACCAAAAAGUGUGUGGAUGUAGCCUUUGUAUUGAUUGUGAUUUAGACCAGGUAAUCCCACGACAGGUGAUUGGCCGGGGCAAUCAUUCAACCAAUCACAAACAUGGCGGGAAUCAGUAGGAGGCGUGGCCACGAUACUCCUGAGCUGCCCUGAGCUUCAUGGGGUUAGAGAAACCUCUGAGUGAGCGUCGGAGUAGAAGCUGCAUGUUUACAGGAUUUGUUCAUCCGCUUUCAGAGCUGCGUUUUUAGAAAGCAAACGAAGAGGGGGUUAAAUUCUCCAUUGCUCCUGCUCCUCCUGUUGCUGCGGCAUGUGUGUCUGCGACGCCUACCCUCCGCUGGGAAUUAUAUGAAGAUGUUUUUAGAAAUAAUGACAAUGACGAUUGUGACCGCAAUGAGGAGCCAUAAACGUCAGCAGACCUGUUUGGCCGGGUUUCCCCUCGCUUGGACACUUGUGCUGUCAUUCAGUGUGGGUCAAUGUAAGGAGCUGGACAACCCAGCUAGGACACGGCAGGUUCCCAUGUCUCCAUCUGACUUCCUGGACAAAUUAAUGGGGAGGACAUCUGGAUAUGAUGCUAGGAUACGACCCAACUUUAAAGGUCCUCCAGUCAAUGUAACCUGCAACAUCUUCAUCAACAGCUUUGGCUCCAUUGCUGAAACAACAAUGGACUAUCGCGUGAACAUCUUCCUUCGUCAGCAGUGGAACGAUCCCCGACUCGCCUACGCUGAAUACCCAGACGACUCUCUGGACUUGGACCCGUCCAUGUUGGACUCCAUAUGGAAACCAGAUCUGUUUUUUGCCAAUGAGAAGGGAGCCCACUUUCACGAAGUCACAACUGAUAACAAGCUGCUGAGAAUAUUUAAGAAUGGGAAUGUUUUGUACUCAAUCAGACUUACAUUGACUCUGUCAUGUCCAAUGGAUCUAAAGAAUUUCCCCAUGGAUGUUCAGACCUGUAUCAUGCAGCUCGAAAGCUUUGGUUACACAAUGAACGACCUGAUCUUUGAGUGGCAGGAGAACGGUCCGGUCCAAGUAGCAGAGGGCCUCACACUCCCACAGUUCCUUUUGAAAGAUGAGUCGGACCUCAGAUACUGCACCAAGCACUACAACACAGGUAAAUUUACUUGCAUUGAGGUCCGAUUCCACCUGGAACGCCAGAUGGGCUACUACCUGAUCCAGAUGUACAUCCCCUCUCUGCUCAUUGUCAUUUUGUCCUGGGUCUCCUUCUGGAUCAACAUGGAUGCUGCUCCCGCCAGAGUGGCCCUAGGCAUCACCACUGUACUAACCAUGACCACACAGAGCUCAGGUUCCAGGACAUCACUGCCCAAGGUCUCUUACGUCAAAGCCAUUGACAUCUGGAUGGCAGUGUGUUUGCUCUUUGUCUUCUCCGCGCUGCUGGAGUAUGCUGCCGUCAACUUUGUGUCAAGGCAACACAAGGAGCUGCUGAGAUUUAGACGGCAUCACAGAAACAAGAGCAAGUGACGCCUCUGCUAGAACCAGGUCCAGAUCAGAUGCGACGGCUGUAAUUUUUCAUGCAGCACCAGCCAAGGUCAUUUCCAGCUUGGAAUUUAUUCGUCACGUGACUUUUUUGAGGCAACGUCGUGAUUGGUUGGAAGGGAACAAGACAUUGCACUGCAGGAGAGGAGAGCGUAACUCGCUUUGUUGACACACCUACCUAAACCAGGACAGGCUGUACAAGAAAAGUCUGCACCUGAAACUAAUUAGAGGGAGAUGGAGCCAAUCCCACAGUCAUCGGACAAGUCCAAUUUAGUCUCCUUUUAACCUAAUGCGGCAUGGUUUUGGACUUUGAGAGAAGGCAGGCGUUCCUGGAGAAAAACUCUUGCACCCUGGAAGAACAUGUACACACAGCGUGGACAUUAUUUACGUAAGGUAAGCAUGCUAACCCAUAUCCAAGUGUACUAACAAACUUUUUGGCUCCGGGGCCACAAUAGGUCCUAAAAUUUGACAUGGAUGCAGGGUCAUGAGCAGAUAGAUGGAUCAUUCAUGUGCACUAAGAUAAAUGAUAAAUGUAAAAGCCAUGCGUAAAGGCUAAAAUGUUAAGAUGCUUUUAGCCUUCUCUAUGCCAUCUAUUGGGGGAAAUGCGAAAAUUGCAGGGAAAAGUCAAAUGAUAAUGUAAUAAUAUUUGGCGGCCCAGAUUAAGAAGCCAAAUGGGCCGCAUUAGGACCCCGGGCCGUAGUGUGCUGUGCCUGAUUUAAAUCAUUAGAAGACUCAAGACUUCUGACUUUAGUCCUUCUGUGCUGUAGCAGCUGGAGGAAUUUCCAGCUUGACCAGUCUUUCAAAGCCACUCUGUUUUUAUUUUACAGUGAAUACAAUCUUAAACAAACAUAAUCAGUUUCACACAGAAUCUUAAAAAAAAAAAAAAACAUACCACGCUAAGCCAAUUGCAGAAUCUCACAUUUAGCUUCAGAAACAUCUCAACUUCCCUCCUCCCUUCCUUCCCCUGUCCUCUUAUCUUACUUCCUUCCUACAUUCAGGAAUAAUCUCUAGAGCCCAGUCAGGGCCGUCACCCCCUUACCUAACACGAAGUAUGAAGCAGUUGAGGAAGAGUAGGAGAAAGGCUAGAACUUACGGGUUGGAAUCCGUGUCUUGUUAGCUCUUUGUUUGGAUGUUCAGAUCUCUCUCUCCUAGACUGGUGACAGGCGCAUGUGACUGUGAGUUGGAAAUCUCCUGCUGCUACAUCCUGGACAUAAACACUUUCAGCAUCUCCUCUUUACUCUAAAGCACCGUAAAGAAUCCCUCCUGAAGAUUAGCUUUCCACAUGGAAAGUCUGUGUGUGUGUGUAAAUCACAGCCUGGUCAUCCAGGAAAACCUUGUUAUUUUAGUUUCCCACUGGUGAAAAGCCCAUUUAAACAGCAGAUUUAAACUGUGUCAAUCACCUUAUUUCCCAUAAACGGAAAUUGUAUUCCAGUGGAAUUCAGUUCCAGAACCUUUGACCCUGUGAUAGAAGAGUUUUUUGUGGAUUUAGUUAGAAA